UCAAACUUGGUCAUUUAGAGGAAGUAAAAGUCGUAACAAGGUUUCCGUAGGUGAACCUGCGGAAGGAUCAUUACUGAGUGAGGGCCCUCUGGGUCCAACCUCCCACCCGUGUUUACCGUACCCUGUUGCUUCGGCGCGCCCGCCCUCGCGGCCGCCGGGGGGCCUCCGCCCCCGGGCCCGUGCCCGCCGAAGACACCCCUGAACGCUGUCUGAAGAUUGUCGUCUGAGCGAAUAGCGAAAAAUAAGUUAAAACUUUCAACAACGGAUCUCUUGGUUCCGGCAUCGAUGAAGAACGCAGC
rnacentral:misc_RNA from 1 species